rnacentral:rRNA from 1 species
CCUACGGGAGGCUGCAGUGGGGAAUAUUGGACAAUGGGGGCAACCCUGAUCCAGCCAUGCCGCGUGUGUGAAGAAGGCCCUCGGGUUGUAAAGCACUUUCAGUGAGGAAGAACGCCUGGUGGUUAAUACCCAUCAGGAAAGACAUCACUCACAGAAGAAGCACCGGCUAACUCCGUGCCAGCAGCCGCGGUAAUACGGAGGGUGCGAGCGUUAAUCGGAAUUACUGGGCGUAAAGCGCGCGUAGGUGGCUUGAUAAGCCGGUUGUGAAAGCCCCGAGCUCAACCUGGGAACGGCAUCCGGAACUGUCAAGCUAGAGUGCAGGAGAGGAAGGUAGAAUUCCCGGUGUAGCGGUGAAAUGCGUAGAGAUCGGGAGGAAUACCAGUGGCGAAGGCGGCCUUCUGGACUGACACUGACACUGAGGUGCGAAAGCGUGGGUAGCAAACAGGAUUAGAUACCCUGGUAGUC